rnacentral:Y_RNA from 1 species
GGCUGGUCCAACAGUAGUGGGUUAUCAGAACUUAUUAACAUUAGUGUCGCUAAAGUUGGUAUACAACCCCCACACCGCCAAAUUUGACUGGCUUAAA